GGGCUACAUGACAAGGAACAAGUAUUAAGUAUCCAUCAUAUCUUAGUUAUAUAAAAAAGUUGUGCCAUGCAAUAACUACAUAAAUGUUGACCCAUACAAAUAUAUAACUUUUGCUGCAGAUAAUUCAAUUCGCACAUUACUUUCUCUCAUCAAGUCCCAUCCAUUGACUCAAGUUAUUCAAAAGCAAAAGGUGCAAAUAAGGCAAUAGGUUCCCUGAUUGCCUGAGGUGCCAGGCCCAACAAAAUGUACUAUAUAUUGUUUGAAUUGACGCCAUGGGAAGUGACAAAGUUAAGCUGGUUGACACCUACCACAAGCCUCCUUAUGUGGGUUUUGAAACUGACUAUAUGACCUAACCAAGGCUAUAAAACAAGUACAAGUAGAGUAAGCAAAGGGAUAAUAUAUUAGCAGCAUUCCAUAGCAAAGAA
rnacentral:misc_RNA from 1 species